CAGUCGCCGCGGUAAUACGAAGGGGGCUAGCGUUGUUCGGAAUUACUGGGCGUAAAGCGCACGUAGGCGGACAUUUAAGUCAGGGGUGAAAUCCCGGGGCUCAACCCCGGAACUGCCUUUGAUACUGGGUGUCUUGAGUGUGGAAGAGGUCAAUGGAAUUCCGAGUGUAGAGGUGAAAUUCGUAGAUAUUCGGAAGAACACCAGUGGCGAAGGCGACUGACUGGACAAGUAUUGACGCUGAGGUGCGAAAGCGUGGGGAGCAAACAGGAUUAGAUACCCCUGUAGUCCCUGUCUCUUAUAC
rnacentral:rRNA from 1 species